rnacentral:tRNA from 1 species
GGUAGCAUAGUGGUUAAAGCUCUCAGCUCCUAACUGAGAGGUCAGUGGUUCAAACCCACCAGCCA